rnacentral:rRNA from 1 species
AUUUUCCACAAUGGGCGAAAGCCUGAUGGAGCAACGCCGCGUGCAGGAUGAAUGCCUUCGGGUUGUAAACUGCUUUUAUAUAGGAAGAAAACACCCAUGCGUGGGAAACUGACGGUACUAUAUGAAUAAGCACCGGCUAACUCCGUGCCAGCAGCCGCGGUAAUACGGAGGGUGCAAGCGUUGUCCGGAUUUAUUGGGUUUAAAGGGUGCGUAGGCGGCCCGUUAAGUCCGUGGUGAAAGCCUCCAGCUCAACUGGAGAACUGCCAUGGAUACUGGCGGGCUUGAGUACAGACGAGGUUGGCGGAAUUGAAGAUGUAGCGGUGAAAUGCAUAGAUAUCUUCAAGAACACCGAUUGCGUAGGCAGCUAACUAGGCUGUAACUGACGCUGAGGCACGAAAGCGUGGGGAGCGAACAGG